CAAUGAAUUUUUAUUAAAAAAUAUUAUUAUAAGAUACUUUAUUAAAGUCAAAUAGUAUUUUUUUAAUUGUUUUGAUUGUACACGUAUAUUUUUUAUUAUUCUUCGCAAACCUCGUAGAAAUAUUAUAAUAAUAUUACCAUGAAAAAAAAACAUCAUUAUCAUGUCUAAAAAUAUUUUUUAUUAGUUAAAACGAUGUUUUUUUUAUUUUUUAUUAAAUACAUAGUGUUAUGCCACACAAGGAAACCAAAUAUUUAACCAAAAUCUUUAUAAUUUUAGAAAAGAAUUCCAGCCAAGUGCCAGCUAAUGUUCAGUGUAAAUAUUAAUAUUAAUACUUUUUAGGUAUACGUACAAGAUACUUUCAAAAUCUCUUUCAAGAAAAUAAAAUAAUUUGUUUUAUUUAAAUUCUUAUUUUAAAAGGUUUAUUUGCAACUUUACGAAAAUCAUAUACCUAUGACAAAUAAAAGAAUAAAAAAAUGAUAUAUAUAUAUCAUCAUUAGUUAUUUUUCAACAAUUAAUGAUUUUUUUGUAAAUUAAUUUAUAUGUAUAAAAUAAACAUCUAUAAAAUACACUUAAGUGAAUUAGCUUAUUAAUUCAUGGGUCAAUUUGAUUCACUACAUGUAUUUAUUUAUAAACAGCUAAUUAAAUACAAUUAUUACACUUUAAUUUUGAAAUUGUCUUGUACAAUGUUAAUGAUUUUUUUUUAUUACAGCGAUGUUAAAUUCUACAAUAGUAAAUACUUAUGCUUUUACAUCAUUAUUGUUUUUAGAGAUACAAACAAUAUUUGAUAACGAAAGUAUAAAUUGUAACAUUUGUUACUUAAGUUUUAUGAAAUAUCUAUUUGUUAGUGGUUGCUCAAAGUUAUGAAAUUGACGUUAUAAAAGAGUUUGCUAUAAGAGGUAAUUCAGCUCUGAUGAAAUGUCAAGUACCAUCCUAUGUUUCUGACUUCGUACAAGUGGUAUCUUGGAUUACUGGAGAUUUGGAAUAUGUUUUAGGAUCAGAGUAUGGUAGGGAUAUUUACUAAUGUGAAUUGUCUGGUUCUUUUCGAAUAGAUGGUCUUAUUUGUAUAAGCACUUUUCAAAAACGUAAUUUCCUCAAAUUUUACAUUAAUUUUUUCGUAUUCAAAAAAGUUCCUUUAUAUUGAUAAACGUGUAUGCAGUGAUGUAAUUAUAAAAGGGAUUUAAAUGUCACACCCCUCAUUUUGCUAUUUGAAAAUUAUCUAGUUGAAGUAUUAAUUUUUUUGUUUGUUGGGUACGAAGAAAAUAUUGACGUUUUUCAUUCAUGUUAAAAUCCAAAUUACGUCACCAUGUAUGCUUGUUCAAGUUCUCAUAAAUGUAUCUUAAAAUAAUUUGGCAUAUUAUACACAGUUACUAUAACUUUAUUUUUAACAGUCUUAAAAAAAAUGUCCGAGUUUUUACAUACACUACUGGAUGUAUUUAACGAAUAUGGCGUAAGGAUAAAUUUUGAUAAAUAGUGAUAAAAAUGCUAUAUUUAUGACGAUUUUUCUAUACUUUAUAUGAAAAUUAUACUAUUUAUGUGUAAAAUUAACUUGUAUAUCAAAUGUAGCAUACUGACGUAUGAUAAUUUUUUGGAUCAUUUAUUAUAGUGAAUAUAAAAUUUUGAAAACUUUUCGAAUGGUUUAUUGUUUUGUCUUUUUCAAUAAUAUGUGUACUGUCACGUUAUUAUAGUCGUUUCACAAGCGUACGAUACUGAUGUCAAUAAGGCAUAUGUGAUUCGAGGAAAUUCAGUUAUUAUGAAAUGCGAAACUCCGUCGUAUGUUUCCGAUUUUCUAUCUGUGAUUUCAUGGCACACUGACACAGAAGAAAUAUUCUAUCCGGGGUUUGAAAAUGGUAUUAAAUUUGUUUAUGUGCAAAAUACACAAAUUUAAAAUUAUAUAUUGUGAUAAAAUUAUGAACUAUUGAUAUUCAUGUAUGGAAAAAAUUCUACUCAACUAUUUUUUUAAUGAUACCCAAACGUACCCUUCCAAAACAAGUUAUUGUUUAACAUGGUAUACUUUUUGUCGAUAUUGUAUUAUCAUAGCUGUGAGUCAAUAUUAUGAAGUAGACGUUAAUAAAGAACCAGUGAUAAGAGGUAAUUCAGUAGUAAUGAAAUGUGGUAUACCUUCAUUUGUUGCGGAUUACAUCUCCGUAUUGUCUUGGCACACCGAAAAAGGUGAAAAUUUUUACCCAGGAACUGAUUACGGUAUCUAUACAAAUAUAGUUAUAUGAGUUAUCUUAUCCAUUGUGUUUAUGAGAGAGUAUGAAAGAAAUCCUUAAAGUAACAUACAUUAUUCCUUUUUUUGUGAUCCGCAAAAAUUUUAUUUAGUGAUUAUUUAUUUAAAUUACUUAUAUAUAUAUAUUUAUUUUGUUCUUUGUAUUUUAUAAUUGCGUAUAGUAAUUGAGGAACCUUAUAGAAGUGAAGUGAAUAAUGAAUAUGUGAUUCGAGGUAACUCAGUUGUGCUUAAGUGUAGCAUUCCACCAUUUAUCGCUGAUUUUGUAUCAGUUGUAUCUUGGCAAGAUGACAACAACAAUGUAUAUGAAAACUCUUUUAUCAAUGGCGUUACAUUGAAUCUGACUAAUCAUGGUAUCAUUUAUAAAAUAUAAUAUUGUGUGAAUGGAUUAUAUUUGUCAAGUUUUUUUUUUUUUUUUGAACUACCCUACACUAUAUUUUAUUAAAUUUUUUAUAUUCAUUAAAGUUUUAUUUUAAUAAUGUGUCAUUUAUUUAGUUCUUGCUGAACCUUAUAGAAGUGACGUAAGUCCAGAAUAUGCGAUUCGUGGAAAUUCAGUAUUAUUUAAAUGCAAUAUUCCUCCUUUUGUGUCUGAUUAUGUCAGUGUAGUUUCAUGGGAAGAUGAUGCUGGUUUCGUUUAUCAUAGUGACAAUAAAUAUAAAGUCACAGAUUACGGUAUAACAGAAAUACAAAUUGACUCUCCGUGUAAUGAAUGUGUGAUUUAAUACAAUCAAUUUUUCCUUUUCGUCCUUUUUUUUUAAUACUUCGAAAAUUUUAUUACGGAAUUAGCUAGUUUGUCUUUUAUCUUAGUAAAAUAUUAGAAUAUAAUUAUUUUUUAUGUUUUUUUCAAUAAACAUUUAAACAUUAAACAUUUAAAGUAAUUCAAGAACCUUACAGAAGUGAUAUAGGAUUAGAAUAUGCUAUCAGAGGAAAUUAGGUUGUUUUAAAAUGUGAUGUAUCACCUUUCAUUGUUGAUUUUGUAUCCGUUAUAUCGUAGCAUGAUGACACUGGAAAUGCUUUUUUUACUAUGUCUACUCAGUAUGAUGGUAUUUGCAAAUUAGAUCAUAUCCGUAAAUAUGACGAAUAAAUGGUUAUCUAAUUUUUAGUAUUAUGACUGUGCUAUCUUUUGUUUCCUAAAUAUAUGUUGAAUAUCACACUAGUCUUUCAGUGUUUGCGUUGUAAUGUUAGACAUCUUAAAGAGAGUGUAACAUGCGAUAUUUUAAUAUCUUAAUAUUCUUGUGCCAUCUGCAAAUAAAAAUUAUUAAAUUAAGAUUUGAUAUUUAUUGUUAUUUGUUAGCAAAACAAUUUAAUUUUGUUAUUUUACGGUCAGUUGUCACGCAAAAUUAUCUAAUAGAGGUAAAUAAUGAACACGUGAUCAGAGGCAAUACGGCAGUUUUUAAGUGUAGUAUACCUUCAUUUGUCGCUGAUUUCGUGACAGUUUUAUCGUGGACGGAUAAUACUGAAAAUUCAUACAACAUACAACAUACCAAUAAUGAAGGUAUUUUAAAAAUCUAAUUGUAUCAAUAUAUUUAGAAAAUCAAACUUAAAAUCAUCUAACUUCAUUAUCCGACGUACCCUUACAAAGAAAUAAUUGCAAAGAUUUAUUUAUGUUUUGUUUUGACUGAGAUAAAUGUACAUGAAUUAAUUUAAUAUUAUGUAAUACUGUCUGUAUUCUAUAUGAGUUAACGAUUAUUGAAAUGACUAGACAUUUUUUUUAUGUAAUCAAAUUUGUUGUUCGUAAGUUGACUUAAAUCUAUAAAUGUAUCUAAUCAUAAUUUGCUGUUAAAAGCUUGUCUAAAAUUAAAUGAUUCACUAUUUUUAAUAUACCAUCAUUUAUUUUACAAAAAGUUGUUAGUCAAGAAUAUGCUUCCGAAGUAGUAACUGAAUACGUGAUACGUGGCAAUGCUGUUAUACUAAAAUGUACGAUUCCUUCGUUCGUUGCUGAUUUUGUUGCUGUACAUUCUUGGAUAUCAUCAGAAGGACAAGAGUUUAAUUAUAUUGAUAGUGGCUAUGGUAUAAACGUUACUUAGAAUUAAAUGAGAGUCGCAAAAAUCUUAUUCCUUCUAUAACUCCUUCAAUUUGAAUAGCCGCGUGUAUAUGUUUUGUUUUUCUGAACUAUUGAAUUUUUAUACUAGUUGUAAAUCAGAAUUAUGAAACGGAGUUGAUGCCUUCAGAAUAUGUCAUUAGGGGUAAUUCACUGGUGUUAAAAUGUAAUAUACCGUCCUUUGUAGCUGAUUUUGUAACAGUUGAUUCUUGGGUUUCAAGUGAUGGUCAACUUUUUACUAAGGAAACAGAUCAAAGUAAAAUAAACAUUUUUCUUCAGAUUCUAUAUGUACAAAUGAAUUUCCUUUUUAUCCACAAUAACAAUAGAAAAUUAGUAAAAUUAGUAACAUGAAGAAUGGAUUUAAUCAAUUAAUGAACAGUUGUAAUGCAAAAUUACGUUACUGGGACAGAAGAUGAAUAUGUUAUACUCAGUAAUACGGCUAUACUCAAAUGUAAAAUUCCAAGUUUUGUAGUUGACUUCGUUUCAGUAGAUUCAUGGGUAUCUUCUGAUGGACAGGAAUUUUAUUAUUCAGUUGAUAAUCAUAUAUACCUUGAUAAAAUUUUGUUCUUUUGAAAUUAUGUUUAUAUGUUGUUGAAAUUCAAGAAUAAGUUCAAGUUUCAUAAAUUUACCGAGUAAGACUAUUGUGAUUUAUGUGGUUUACUGCAGAUAAAUAAUAAAAUAUUUUUAAAAUAGAAAACUAGUGAUCUUUAUAUCUAUAUUAUAGUUGUUUUAAAUAUCGUUUUUGUACUUACGAAUCAAAUAAUUUUUACAAUUUUAGUUUAAGAAUCGAUCCUAGAUAAUUAUGUUUUUUAAUAGUUGUACAUCAAUCAUAUGAAGUAGAAGCUGAUAAUGAGUAUGUUAUCAAAGGAAAUAGUGUUAUAAUGAAAUGUGAAAUACCCAGCUUUGUGGCUGAUUUUGUUUCGGUAGUUCAAUGGGAAGAUUCGUUAGGGAAUGAAUAUUAUCCCAAUAAAGAUUAUGGUAUAAUUUAAUGAAAAAAAUAUUGUUGUGGUUUUAGUUACGAUGUUCAAUGUAUUAAACAAAUCCUAUUUUUUUCCUUUUUUUGAAUAUUUUAAAGAACGUAUAAUAAAGUCUUAGGAAAAAAUGUUGAUAUUUGUUAUGAAAUUUUUGAUUAAUUUAAUUAAAAAAUUAAUCAAAAUUAUGUUUUCAUAGUCGUUAGCCAAUCUUAUGAAACUCGAGUUAUUGACGAAUAUGUACUUCUGGCGAAUGUAGCUAUUUUUAAGUGUCUUAUUCCAAGUUUUGUUGCUGAUUUCAUUCAAAUCUUAGAUUGGUUAGAUGAAUAUGGUAAUAGUAUAGGGUCAACAAUCGAUACAUUGGGUAUAAAUUUUAUAUUAUAAAUUAUAAUGUAGAUAAUUCUAGAACGAUUGCAAACUUGAAUAUUUGUAUAGCCAAUCAUUUUCCUAUCCAAAAAAUAUUUUUACUUAAAUUCAAAGAUUUAAAAAUUUUAAUAAAUGAACAUUGAUUUUUAUUUAUUUUAUUAUUCAUACGAAAUAUGAAAUAUUGUUCAGUUGUAGAACAAUUAUAUCAGUUACGUGUGAAUGAUGAGUUUGUGUUAAAUGGAAAUACAGCUGUUUUAAAGUGUAUCGUUCCCAGUUUUAUUGGAGAUUUUCUAGAAAUUAAGGAAUGGAUUUCAGAUUCUGGAGAUUCAUUUUUAAUGAAUGAAGAAAACAAUGGUUCGCCUUAUGAUGUAUUAUUAAGAAAAUGAAUGAAUACUUCUUUAAAAGAAUGAUAAUUUUGUAUUCCUUUUUCAUCCGGCAACAACGGUUUACUGAACACUUUUUUGAUUAUCAAUUUAAUUUGGCUAACGUUUUCAGCUGUAAAUCAGUAUUACGAAACACAGGUUUACGAUAUGUUCGUAAUAAGAGGAAAUACAGCAAUUUUUAAAUGUGCAGUUCCUUCAUUUGUGGUAGAUUAUGUAAUUGUAGAUUCGUGGGAAGCCACAAAUGGUGACAAAUACUACUUCAGUGCUGAAGAUAUCGGUACUUAUAUAUGCUUUGAAUAAUUUUAUUUUGUAUAAGUGAUUUGUUGAAUGGAUUUUAACCUUAUACGAAGUCCUGUAUAAUUUUAUGUUUAACUGUAGAGAAUUUUUCAACUAUUUAAAAUGUUAUCGGCUGUUUCAUUCUCAAUUAUGUCGCUUUUAAGUAAAAAUAUUAUUAUUACACGUUCUUCUUAGGUUGUUUAUUAAAUUAUUACUCAUUAUUUUUCGUAGCUGUUAAUCAAUACUACGAGGCUGUAUUACAUGAUAUGUUUGUAAUCAGAGGCAAUACGGCUCUUUUUAAAUGCAUUAUUCCGUCAUUUGUAACAGAUUAUGUUUCAGUUGUAUCCUGGGAGGAUACAAAUGGCAACAAAUAUUUAAUUUCAUCUAAUGAUAAAUUUGGUAAAAAUCUUUAUGUUGUAUUUGAAUGGUUGGAAAUUUCUUUUUUGUUCUUUCUUGUAAACUUAUUUUAUUAUUAUUAAUAUCAUAUUAUUAUAUUCGAGUUAUUAGAAUUUUAUUUGUAUCAUAAAUCAAAUCGAUUUUAAAAUAAAUUAAAAAGUAUCUCUUAAAAUUUUUUUCGGUCUGUUAUUUCCUAUAGUCAAUUCUCUAUUUUUAGUUGUUAAUCAAUUGUACACCGUUAAUGUGAUGGAUGAGUCUGUACUUCGUGGCAAUACGGCGAUAUUAAAAUGUCAUAUUCCUAGUUUUGUUGCCGAUUAUGUAUUUGUAUCCGGUUGGUCAUCAAAUGACGGGGAUGAAUAUUCAGUUGAAUCAAAUCAAGUAUAUGGUACCAUUGAAUUAAAAUUAUGACAAAUUUUCUUAUCUUUUAUUUUUUUAAUGAGAAAUUUUUUAUCGGUAUCGAUUAUUUCACAGAAUUAUCAAAUAAACAAGGGUACGUUGCGGUUUCCUUGAUUUUAUCCAUACAAUUGCUUCAUUAUCCUUUAUAUUCCUAUUAUUCUAGUAUGAAUGUCAUGAAUGAAUCUUUUAUGUAGUUAGUUGUAUACUGAAAAUAUGAGAUUAUAUAGAAGUAUUUUAACUUUUUUGUAACUCUU